rnacentral:rRNA from 1 species
UACGUAGGGGGCGAGCGUUGUCCGGAUUUACUGGGUGUAAAGGGUGCUCAGGCGGGUCUGUAAGUCAGGGGUGAAAUCCCAGAGCUUAACUCUGGAACUGCCUUUGAUACUGCAGAUCUCGAGUUUGGGAGAGGCGAGUGGAAUAUCUGGUGUAGCAGUGAAAUGCGUAGAUAACAGAUAGAACACCAAUGGCGAAGGCCGCUCGCGGGCCCAAUAACGACGAUAAAGCACGAAAGCGUGGGGACCAAACAGG